AAUAAAUUGCCUGAUUAAAGGGUUAUCUUGAUAGGAUAAAUUAAAUGAUUAAAAUCAUAUUUAUUA
rnacentral:tRNA from 1 species